rnacentral:rRNA from 1 species
GGGUGAGUAACACGUGGAUAACCUACCGUAUAAGACUGGGAUAACUUCGGGAAACCGGAGCUAAUACCGGAUAAUAUUUUGAACCGCAUGGUUCAAAAGUGAAAGACGGUCUUGCUGUCACUUAUAGAUGGAUCCGCGCUGCAUUAGCUAGUUGGUAAGGUAACGGCUUACCAAGGCAACGAUGCAUAGCCGACCUGAGAGGGUGAUCGGCCACACUGGAACUGAGACACGGUCCAG